GAAUGAAAAUUGGUACCGUCAGAUUUUUUGAGCCGCUAAUCACGAAUCUAAGGUCAGACCUCCAAAAUUUGUAAUGGUGGAUCCAUUACAGUAGUUCAAAAUAA